GAUGAACGCUGGCGGCGUGCCUAAUACAUGCAAGUCGAACGCAUAGCGAAAGGCGCUUGCACCUUUCAAGUGAGUGGCGAACGGGUGAGUAACACGUGGACAACCUGCCUCAAGGCUGGGGAUAACAUUUGGAAACAGAUGCUAAUACCGAAUAAAACUUAGUGUCGCAUGACACAAAGUUAAAAGGCGCUUCGGCGUCACCUAGAGAUGGAUCCGCGGUGCAUUAGUUAGUUGGUGGGGUAAAGGCCUACCAAGACAAUGAUGCAUAGCCGAGUUGAGAGACUGAUCGGCCACAUUGGGACUGAGACACGGCCCAAACUCCUACGGGAGGCUGCAGUAGGGAAUCUUCCACAAUGGGCGAAAGCCUGAUGGAGCAACGCCGCGUGUGUGAUGAAGGCUUUCGGGUCGUAAAGCACUGUUGUAUGGGAAGAACAGCUAGAAUAGGAAAUGAUUUUAGUUUGACGGUACCAUACCAGAAAGGGACGGCUAAAUACGUG
rnacentral:rRNA from 1 species